UCGGAUCGUUUUAGAAACAUCAGUGGCCAACAGAUCGCCAGAUCGUUGAGCUGCAUUGGCGGGAUUUCGCCGUCUUCGUUUCUCUUUCUUCGCGGACGAACACGCGCUGGGCCUGCAACGGCAGGAUCCAGGGUCCUUAACGGGAUGUGCGUUAGGGGCUUGUAGCUCAGUUGGUUAGAGCGCGCGCUUGAUAAGCGUGAGGUCGGAAGUUCAAGUCUUCCCAGGCCCACCACUUUCAUCGAGUGAGCAUUCGUCUUCUGGUUACGGGGCCAUAGCUCAGCUGGGAGAGCGCGUGCUUUGCAAGCAUGAGGUCGUCGGUUCGAUCCCGUCUGGCUCCACCAGAUGGUUUGAUCACCGAGAUCUUGACCGUCGUCCGCGAAACAUCACUUCGCAUCCUGCUAGUCUGGAUAGACAGCAGUUUGCGUGUUUUCUGACAUCGUAAAGAGGAGAUCGAUCCGAGUUGGGUCGUGCAGCAUAUCGUUGCGCGAGCCUUCAUUAUCUCCGGAUCAUUUCGGCGCUCGCUUCCAGCCGUGAGGUUGGAUGCGGGUUGUAAAUGAUCCUUUUAGCGAAGCUUGACCGCCUCGCUAUCGGAACGAUCUUACGAAGCAAGCUGGUCUUUCUAGUCAAUGUCCGGCUGCGGAUAGCGUUCAUCGAGGGCGCGUGCCGCAAGGCAAUUCUGCAGACAACAUUCUGCCGAGUGUGUGGACAUUGAUAAUGAGAGCAAUCAAGUGCCUUAAGGGUGUUCGGUGGAUGCCUUGGCGCUGAGAGGCGAUGAAGGACGUGCUACGCUGCGAUAAGCCGUGGGGAGCUGCGAAGAAGCUUUGAUCCGCGGAUUUCCGAAUGG
rnacentral:misc_RNA from 1 species